GGGUACCCCAAACAAAUCAAUGUUACGUACUGUUUCACUUAAUACAAUUAAAGCUUAUUGCACGAGAAAAAAACGCGGCAUAAUGAAUUCAAAAUUUAAAAAACAAACAAAACAAAUUUGAGAAUAUUUUCAAGGUUAAAGAAUGAUAAUUUGCAAAAUUAAAAAAUUAAACUUAAAUUUAAAAAGCUUUUCAACUUAUACAAGUUUGAGGCAAACAUGUUCGAAGAUGGCAGUGUUGUCAAGCAAUCCUCAGAAUCAACAUACGAAUCAGUGAACCUUUAAACCCUGAAUAAUUCCUGAGUUUUCAAUGGUUCUCUACCAGUAAACUUAAAGAGUUUCAGUAUUAACUACCAGAUCAAAAACGCUGGUCUCGACCAGGUAAAACGACAGCAAGAGACUGAGGCAGGCAAUUUAUAAGUGCACAAAGUAAUGCAGUACACAAGUGCAAGUUAGACCAAACAACAAACACAAGCCUGACCUACCGUCCUUUAAAAAUAAAUGGCGAUGACGUGAAAGGUGUUCUCUAUCAUAUUCGAUGACACAAAAGUUAUUCUCAAUCUUAGGCCCGAAGGUGUGAAAUUUUUUGUUGAAAUUUUGUAAACAAUGAACAGCUGUUGUAAACAAAAUCAACAAUUGUGAAUUAAUUAUAUGUAUGAAUGUGUUUUAUGUAAAAUUAUAUUUCGGGAUUAGAAUGAAUAAAGAAAAUAUCUCACCUAGAUUUUAUAUAGUGUGACAAAGGAAACUCAUUACUGAACCUAACCUAAAGUUAAUCGAGCAAUUUGAGUUCUAUUCUAAGAACUAAUCUAUGAUCAUAUCAAAUUUUACUAAAAACCGCAUUUGUGUUGUUGUAACAGAUUUAUUGUGACUAGAUGUUCUUCCCAGGGUUACUGAUUUGUCAAUUUUAGACAGAUUAAGAAUCUGGUCAUUCCGUAGCAGAGAUUCAAUUGUUGUAAGAACGGCAAUCCUUCUUUGUGUCUGAAGGGAUGACGAAAUUUUACACGAAAUAAAAACUCACCAAAACAUUAUUUAAUGGAAUCAAAAAUUUACUAAUUUUCUUUAAUAUGAAUUUAAUUCUCCUAACCCAUAGGAAAUUAAAUUUUUAUUAACUUCUAUUGCCAAUAGGAGUAAAAUUUUUGUUGCCAUACAAUUUUCAUUCCGCUCGAAGUGAAAAUUGCUAUCUGUGAACUUGCUGUGAACAAUUAAUUCACAAUAGUUCUCUUUUCUCUUUAUUUAUUUACUAACAUUGUUCACUUCAAAAAACUCAGCUCGAUUUAAAAUUUUUCAAAGCAAUUUUGUAAACAAUAAACUGCUGUUGCGAAAAAAAUUUACUAUUGUGAAUGACAGUCAACUAGAAUAGUAUGUAUUACUAUAGCAAUGUUCUCCUUGAGGGAAAAAACAAUUGUAUGGUAAAUUUCACAUUGUUUUGCCAGUGGGGUGAUUGUUUCAGAUUUAUGUUGAAAUUUUCAGUAAAAAAAACAUUUUUUUUGUAAAUAUUAUUGUUUAUAAACAUUUUAAUUUCUCUAAACUUUUACAUAAAAUUUC